UUCCCUCCCCUAUCAUAUCCCUUCACGAUGUGCCUUUGCUGCUCCUCCCAUCAACAGAUGGAGUCUAUUUCUCCACCCCUUGAAUCCACGCUGGUCUUGCGACUUGGCCAAUAGAACGUGGUGCAACCAAGUCCAGGCCUCAAGAGGCCCAGCACACUUCCAUUGCUCCCUUGGAAACCCGUCCAACCUGUGCUGUGAACAUGCCUGGGCCAGCCUCCCAGAGGAGGCGAGAAUGCAAAGCAGAAGGAGCCGUUCCCGCUGAGACCAUCGGGACCAGCUAGUGCCCAGAUGAGCCAGCAGCUCCCUCCAGAUGCAGGGGUGAGGCCCAUUUGAGGCCAGCUGAGCCCAGUCCAGAUCCAAAGAACCAUUCAGACCAUCCACAGACUUUUCUGGAACUGGGAAGUUCAAGGCUGAGGAGCUGCAUCUGGUGAGGGUCUUCUUGCUGGUGGCCUUCUUCUGCAGAGUCCUGAGGUGCUGCAGGGGAUCUUGUGGCAGAGUACUGCUGUGACAAACCACCACAAACCGUGUGGCCAACAACACAGAAAUUCAUCCUCUCAUGGCUCUGGGGGCCAGAAGUCCAAUGUCAAGGUGUCAGGUGAUAACACACCAUACAUGCUCUUCAGCAUGUGACUUCUUUCACUUAACAAUAUGUCUGGGAGGCACCUCCACCUCAGAGCAUAAAGAGCUCUCUUUGAAAAGGCCACAGAAUAUUCCAUUAGGUGGAUGUACAGGACUUAACCUGCUAUUGUCCAUCGGCACGAAGAAUGCAGAGGCUUCUUUGAUCUUUGCAGCACGGCGCCCUUGCACAAUGACUGGGUCACAGCAGCACUCCGGAUGAACAUGCCCCGCCGGGGGUAGAGCUGGUAACUGGGAGGACUUGGGCUGAGAGCUGGUGGACCAGAUCUUGGGUUGAAUUCUCCCAGAAGUAGAGAAAGAUGGAGUUCAGAAGAUUGUUUGGAAACGCAUUUCUGGAAGCCCCCCUGGGGAGCGGGGAAGGGAGACAAACCUGUUCAGAGUAUUGAUGGGUAGUUAGCACCGUGGACAAGCAGAACUCAACACUGUAGGGGCCUUGGGAGAUGGCAGGGACAUGCUUCACAGCAGCCCACCUGAGGGGCAAGGAAGCUGGAGUAUUUAUCCCACCAACAUCCAUUCCUCAUUGGCCAGAGGUGUCUUGGGAGGGAGUAGGGGGUUGAGUCUCCAAUCAGCCCUGCUUAAAGCUGGGGAGAGAAGCUGUUGGGUUGGCCUCCAUAGGAUUUUUAUAGAAAAAUCUCCCAAUUGCUAAAUGUUGGCAAAUGAUCCCCAAUUUUCUUUUCCUUUUUUUUUCUUUAUUUUGAGACAAGGUCUCACUCUGUUGCCCAGGCUGGAGUGCAGUGGUGUGGUCAUGGCUCACCGCAGCCUCAACUUCCUGGGCCCAAGCGAUCCUCCUGCCUCAGCCUCCUAAGUAGCUGGGACCACAGGCAUACACCACCACACCCAGCUAAUUUUUAAAUUUUUUUUUGAGAUGGGGUCUCCGUAUGUUGCCCAGGCUGGUCUCUAAUUCCUGGACUCAAUCAAGCAAUCCUCCUGCCUUGGCCAAGGCAGGCAGAUCGCUUGAGGCCAGGAGUUCGAGACUAGCCUAGCCAACAUGUCAAAGUCUCUUAUCUACUAAAGAUACAAAAAAAUUAACUAGGUGUGGUGGUGCACGCUUGUAAUCCCAGCUACUCGGGAGACUGAGGCAUAAGAGUUGCUUGAAACCAGGAGGCAGAGGUUGGAGUGAGCAGAAAUCACGCCACUGCAUUCCAGCCUAGGUGACAGAGUGAGACUCUGUCUCAAAAAUAAAAAUAAAAAUUCCAUGAAGUCAGAGAGAGCUGACAAUUUACUCCUCCUCAGUUGAUUAUACCUCAGCUUACUUUUUUCUUUUUUUAUUAUACUGAAAAGUUGCAAAAUACCUCAGUUUAUAUGAGUUUUCCAGAUUAAAAUAUUAUUGCUUUUUAGUGAAAUCUUUACAGAUGAAAUGAUGUUUGGGAUUUGUUUCAAGGUAAUAUAGGAGGUGAAAAGUGGGUCAAGUAUAGAUACGGAAAGAUUGGUCAUGGAUUGAUAAGAAUUAAAUUGGGUCACAAUAGUCAUAUACUAUUUUUUAUUUUAUUUUAUUUUAUUUUUUGAGAUGGAGUGUCACUCUGUCGCCCAGGCUAGAGUGUAGUGGCACAACCUCGGCUCGGUGCAACCUCCGCCUCCUGGGUUCAAGCAAUUCUUGUGCCUCAGCCUCCUGAGUAGCUGGGAUUACAGGCGUGGGCCACCAUGCCUGGCUAAUUUUUAUAUUUUUUAUAGAGACAAGAUUUUGCCAUGUUAGCCAGGCUGAUCUCAAACUCCUGACCUCAAGUCAUCCACCCACGUCAGUGUCACAAAGUGCUGGGAUUACAGGCCUGAGCCACCAUGCCUGGCCUAGUCAUAUACUAUUUUUAUAAAUGCCAAACAUUUUAUGUAAUAAAAUUUUGAGGGAAA
rnacentral:lncRNA from 10 species